AUCAAACCAAUAUCAGGUCUCCAUACCAUCCAGUCUCGCUUCCGAUCUCUUCUUUGCAGAUAUUGUGAAAAGUCAUUUAACUAAUGCUAAAAUCGAGUGCCUUACUUGUAAGUCCCAGUUAUUCCUUAAAAUAAAGUUAAGGUUUCAGUCCGAUUUAAUGGUGAUUCCGAUCUUAAUUCGAAUCAAGUUUUUCCAAUUUUAAUGUUCUAAAGUU
rnacentral:misc_RNA from 1 species